rnacentral:rRNA from 1 species
UACGAAGGGGGCUAGCGUUGUUCGGAAUUACUGGGCGUAAAGCGUGCGCAGGCGGCCUUCCAAGUCAGGGGUGAAAGCCCAGAGCUCAACUCUGGAAUUGCCUUUGAGACUGUGAGGCUUGAGUACGGGAGAGGUGAGUGGAAUUCCCAGUGUAGAGGUGAAAUUCGUAGAUAUUGGGAAGAACACCGGUGGCGAAGGCGGCUCACUGGCCCGUAACUGACGCUCAUGCACGACAGCGUGGGGAUCAAACAGG